rnacentral:rRNA from 1 species
AGUGAACGCUGGCGGUAGGCCUAACACAUGCAAGUCGAGCGGCAGCACAGUAAGAGCUUGCUCUUACGGGUGGCGAGUGGCGGACGGGUGAGGAAUACAUCGGAAUCUACUUUUUCGUGGGGGAUAACGUAGGGAAACUUACGCUAAUACCGCAUACGACCUACGGGUGAAAGCAGGGGAUCUUCGGACCUUGCGCGAUUGAAUGAGCCGAUGUCGGAUUAGCUAGUCGGCGGGGUAAAGGCCCACCAAGGCGACGAUCCGUAGCUGGUCUGAGAGGAUGAUCAGCCACACUGGAACUGAGACACGGUCCAGACUCCUACGGGAGGCAGCAGUGGGGAAUAUUGGACAAUGGGCGCAAGCCUGAUCCAGCCAUACCGCGUGGGUGAAGAAGGCCUUCGGGUUGUAAAGCCCUUUUGUUGGGAAAGAAAAGCAGCAGGUUAAUACCCCGCUGUUCUGACGGUACCCAAAGAAUAAGCACCGGCUAACUUCGUG